rnacentral:rRNA from 1 species
CAAAAACAUCGCCUCUUGCAAUAACAACAUAAGAGGUCCCGCCUGCCCAGUGACCAUGAGUUUAACGGCCGCAGUAUUUUAACCGCGCAAAGGUAGCGCAAUCACUUGUCUUUUAAAUGGAGACCUGUAUGAACGGCACAACGAGGGCUUAACUGUCUCCUUUUUCCAGUCAAUGAAAUUGAUCUCCCCGUGCAGAAGCGGGGAUAAUCCCAUAAGACGAGAAGACCCUGUGGAGCUUUAGACACUAUGACAGACCAUAUCAACACACCCUAAAGAAACAAAACCUAUUGAAAUCCUGCCGUGAUGUCUUUGGUUGGGGCGACCUCGGAGAAACAAAAAACCCCCGCGUGGAAUAGGAACAUAAUUCCUCCCAAAACCAAGAACUACCGUUCUAAUUAGCAGAAACAUCUGACCAUUAAGGAUCCGGCUUUUGCCGAUCAACGGACCAAGUUACCCCAGGGAUAACAGCGCAAUCCUCUUCUAGAGCCCCUAUCGACAAGAGGGUUUACGACCUCGAUGUUGGAUCAGGGCAUCCUAAUGGUGCAACCGCUAUUAAGGGUUCGUUUGUUCAACGAUUAAAGCCCUACGUGAUCUGA